rnacentral:pre_miRNA from 1 species
CAAAUACUCCCUCCGUCCCAAAAUUCUUGUCUUAGAUUUGUCUAAAUACGGAUGUAUCAAGUCACGUUUUAGUAUUAGAUACAUCCGUAUCUAGACAAAUCUAAGACAAGAAUUUUGGGACGGAGGGAGUAAGAC